GUUCAAACCACUGAAUGUACAACAGUGGUUCCCAAAAUACGGCCCUCGGGCCGGAUCAGGCCCGCCUCCACAUCUGGCCCUUCUACAGUCUGAACUAUAACGGAGAGAAAGGAGGACCUCUGUUCAUCUUUACCCAUUGGUGUUAAAGACUGGAUAUCCAAGAACUUCGUUAGUGUGAGGCUCUGGAUCUCCCGGCUGAGGACCUGGGUCCGGCUGUGGUUCUCUCUCAGCGUGGCCUGCCGGUCAGAGUUGUGUCCUGUGGUCUGCUCUGAAACGGUCAACAGCACGGGGGUCCUUCAGAGAACCCC